rfam:Gossypium arboreum cultivar AKA8401 contig_29305_1, whole genome shotgun sequence.
GCGAAUGUAGCCAAGUGGAUCAAGGUAGUGGAUUGUGAAUCCACCAUGCGCGGGUUCAAUUCCCGUCGUUUGCC